UACAGAGGGUGCGAGCGUUAAUCGGAAUUACUGGGCGUAAAGCGCGCGUAGGCGGCUUUUCAAGUCGAUUGUGAAAUCCCUCGGCUUAACCGGGGAACUGCAUCUGAUACUGGAUGGCUUGAGUUCGGGAGAGGGAUGUGGAAUUCCAGGUGUAGCGGUGAAAUGCGUAGAUAUCUGGAGGAACACCGGUGGCGAAGGCGGCAUCCUGGACCGACACUGACGCUGAGGAGCGAAAGCCAGGGGAGCAAACGGG
rnacentral:rRNA from 1 species